AUUGAACGCUGGCGGCCGGCCUAACACAUGCACGUCGAGCGAGCGGCGGACGGGUGAGUAAUGUAUGGGGACUGCCCGCUCGAGGGGGAUAACUACUGGAAACGGUGGCUAAUACCGCAUACUAUCGGAUAACCCAUAUGGGAUUAGCUAGUAGGUGGGGUAAAGGCUCACCUAGGCGACGAUCUCUAGCUGGUCUGAGAGGAUGAUCAGCAACACUGGGACUGAGACACGGCCCAGACUCGUACGGAGGCAGCAGGGGGGAAGAGUGCACAAUGGGCGCAAGCCGGAUACAGCCAUGACGCGUGUAUGAAGAAGGCUGGAGGGGUGUAAAGUACGGUCAGCGGGGAGGCGUUACCCGCAGAAGAAGCACCGGCUAACUCCGUGCCAGCAGCCGCGGUAAUAC
rnacentral:rRNA from 1 species